rfam:Arabis alpina cultivar Pajares Aa.chr1_contig_165, whole genome shotgun sequence.
UGGCGAUGAUUAAAAGCUUACCCGCGCUUCUGAGAUCUUUGUAUCAGUGAAGUAUAUGGUAAAACAUGGUUGAAUUUCUUAAUAUGAGCCA